rnacentral:rRNA from 4 species
CGAAAUGCGAUACUUGGUGUGAAUUGCAGAAUCCCGUGAACCAUCGAGUCUUUGAACGCAAGUUGCGCCCGAAGCCAUUCGGCCGAGGGCACGCCUGCCUGGGUGUCACCAA